rnacentral:rRNA from 1 species
UCGGGAAUUUUGGGCAAUGGGCGAAAGCCUGACCCAGCAACGCCGCGUGAGGGAUGAAGUAUUUCGGUAUGUAAACCUCGAAAGAAUGGGAAGAAUAAAUGACGGUACCAUUUAUAAGCUCCGGCUAACUACGUGCCAGCAGCCGCGGUAAUACGUAGGGAGCAAGCGUUGUCCGGAUUUACUGGGUGUAAAGGGCGCGCAGGCGGGAUAAAAAGUCAGUGGUGAAAUCCUACAGCUUAACUGUAGAACUGCCUUUGAUACUUUUAUUCUUGAGUUCGGGAGAGAGAGACGGAAUUCCAGGUGUAGUGGUGAAAUACGUAGAUAUCUGGAAGAACACCAGUUGCGAAGGCGGUCUCUUGGUCCGACACUGACGCUGAGGCGCGAAAGCGUGGGGAGCAAACA